rnacentral:lncRNA from 1 species
UACAUUUUUUAUAUUGUUCUCUUAUCCAUCGAGUGGACACAAAAAUAAAUUGAUGAAAAGUAAUAUUUUUUAAAAAAUGAUACUAGAAGUUUUGUUGGAAUACUAUCGAUAGUACCAAGCGUUUGGUGCUAUCAAGUUUUUCGCCAUUAGAUUUAACCCUUUAACUAUUUUCACCCGUUAGAUUAUACUAUUAAACCAACAACUCACUUAACCCUAUAGGGCCCACAUCAUCCUAACGGUAUAUUUUUUCAUCCAACGGUAUGUUUUUUUAUCCAAGAGCCGAAAAUCUAAUAGCACCAAUAGGUUGGUGCUAUUGAUAGUAUUCCAGCCGAGAUCUAUAUAUGGCUGAGGUGCUUCUAAUAGCACCAAUGGCUGGGGUGCUUCUAAUAGCACCAAGCAUUUGGUGCUACCAAUUUUCCACCGUUAAAUUUAUCUUUAUGACCAUUUAUCUCUGUUAUAUCAUACUAUUCAACCAACCAAUUAUUCAACCCUCUUAAUCUCUUAUGUCUCAUCUCUUUUUUUUUUUAGAGAGAUAGAUAGCAUGUUACCCGCUUCGUUUAUUUCACUUAGAAAUAAACUUAGUUAGAAAUGUGAAUCAACUAGGAUUUAAAUUUGAGAUCUCUAAUACCAACCAUCAAACCCUUUGCCAUCAAGUUCUUUGUCUCAUCCUUUUAAGUAGCAUCAA